rnacentral:tRNA from 1 species
GGGAGUAUAGUUCAAUGGCAGAACAGUUGGUUGUUAACCAUCAGAUGGAUGUUCGAAUCAUUCUGCUCCCG